rnacentral:tRNA from 1 species
GCGCCCGUAGCUCAGUAGGAUAGAGCGCCAGAUUCCUAAUCUGGGUGCCGCAGGUUCGAAUCCUGCCGGGCGCACCA